UACAAAAUGUUACUCAUUUUCAAUACUAUGUACACAUUUCUGUGUAGGCACAGUUGACAGAAUCUAUAUAUGCCCUGUCAAUACCGAUAUGAGGCGUCCAAAUUCUGCUAAUGCAAAACUGUUUUGUAACGUUUUGAUUCAAACAUGCUGCAUGGCGAUAAGGCGAUUACUACAACUAUUCCACUCACCGUCAAAAUGUUUAUACUUCUGACAACAGCACCGUAUCCUUCUGACGAAAAAAAAAUGGCGGACUAAACAAGAUAAGAUAAGUGGGUGACAAAAUGUUUUAUUAUAAGACCACCCCCUGUACGUCGAUAAUCCAAACUGAGUUGGAUAAUUCAAACUGAAGAAAAGAAAUGUCGGCCGAAACUGAAACUGAAAGAUCUUGCUGGAAUUUGCGAUGAGUGUCGUAGAUAGUGGUGAAUUGAUGCCUGAUGAUAUCGUUUGUUUCCCUUAACAACGAGACAAGUAUGUAGAUGAUUCAGAGGAUACACGUGUCGGCGUAGGAUCAUGUGAUAAUACAGUGUCCGUUGAUUCUGACACCAUAUGUGGAGUUCAGAAACAAGUUGGUGAACGUGUCGAGGAUCAUUAGAUACAGAUACAGUUCAGAAGCAAGUUGGUAAGCGUGUCGACGUAGGAUCAUGUGAUAAUACAGUGUCCGUUGAUUCUGACACCAUAUGUGGAGUUCAGAAACAAGUUGGUGAACGUGUCGAGGAUCAUUAGAUACAGAUAGAGUUCAGAAGCAAGUUGGUAAGCGUGUCGACGUAGGAUCAGGUGAUAAUACAGUGUCCGUUGAUUCUGACACCACAUGUGGAGUUCAGAAACAAGUUGGUGAACAUGUCGAGGAAGGAUCAUUAGAUACAGAUACAGUUCAGAAGCAAGUUGGUGAGCGUGUCGACGUAGGAGCAUGUGAUAAUAAAGUGUCCGUUGAUUCUAACACCACAUGUGGAGUUCAGAAACAAGUUGGUGAACGUGUCGAGGAAGGAUCAUUAGAUACAGAUACAGUUCAGAAGCAAGUGGGUAAGCGUGUCGACGUAGGAUCAUGUGAUAAUACAGUGUCCGUAGAUUCUGACACCAUAUGUGGAGUUCAGAAACAAGUUGGUGAACGUGUCGAGGAUCAUUAGAUACAGAUAGAGUUCAGAAGCAAGUUGGUAAGCGUGUCGACGUAGGAUCAGGUGAUAAUGCAGUUUCCGUUGAUUGUGACGGUUCGUGUGUACGCUCUGGAUUAAAACGCGAAAUAUGUGGCCAUGUUUUUAAGAGAAAACACGACUUCUCUAGACAUCUUAAACAACAUUAUCCCCAAACGGGAGAAUAUUGUUCGAUAUGCGAUAAGUAUUUCAGUCGGCUUAAAAUUCACAUGCAAAGGCAUAAAGAGCGAAAAAAGUACGCAUGUAACAUUUGUGUAAAAGUAUUUGUAAGUGUGAAUGGAUUGAAAGCCCAUGAACGUCUCUUCCUUCUAAAAUUAAAAAUAUCAGAAUAAAGCGGUGCCAUAACAUCAUAAAGAUGCGGUGCUUUUACGGACAUUGUUGAGCAGUGUUCAUAUAUCUAUAAUGUCAGUGUUGAGCGGUGCAUACUUGCUAACACGUGUAAAUGUUAAAAUCACAGUUAUAUUCAAUAAAGCAUGCUAUAAUG